AACGAACGCUGGCGGCAUGCCUAACACAUGCAAGUCGAACGAGACCUUCGGGUCUAGUGGCGCACGGGUGCGUAACGCGUGGGAACCUGCCCUUAGGUUCGGAAUAACUCCCCGAAAGGGGUGCUAAUACCGGAUAAUGUCUUCGGACCAAAGAUUUAUCGCCUUUGGAUGGGCCCGCGUUGGAUUAGCUAGUUGGUAGGGUAAAAGCCUACCAAGGCGACGAUCCAUAGCUGGUCUGAGAGGAUGAUCAGCCACACUGGGACUGAGACACGGCCCAGACGCCAAGGGGAGGGAAAAGGGGGGAAUAGGGGAAAAGGGGAGAAAGCGUGAACCAAAAAGGCCGGGGGAGAAAAGAAGGCUUGGGGGUUGAAAAGCUCUUUUACACGGGAUGAAAAGGAAAGUAAGGGGAAAAAAAGCCCCGGAAAACUCCGG
rnacentral:rRNA from 1 species